GAUAUUAAUAAUUAUAAUAACUUCAAUUACUAUUCAAGUCAUGUUUUUAAUUAAUUACCUUCAGACAACAACACUUUUGCUAAUAGUUGUCUUGGCGACGGCCGAACUUGACUUUGGGACGUUUUUAAUGAACCGUGAUAUGGUUAAAAAUACUACCACUAUCCAGAAUUUUAUUAAUGAUAUUGACAACACGAUACUAGAGCGUCUAUACAACAGUGGUGUCACCAACACUGUGUGUGAUAACCUCGCUGCAAUUGAGACGGCUAAGAGGCUGAACAUGACGCUACAGGCAGACGACAUAAUUGAAACCUGGAGUAAACUGAUCCUUAAGCUUCUAGGGGGCCCUCAAAACGACACCUGUGACUCAAUCCAGCCCAAUCUAUACACAUUCUGUAUCGCCGAAAAGAUAGUAAAAUGGCCGACCCCUAACAAUUUCCCAAAUAGAAAUGUUGUCCGUACAAGCCUAGAUAUAGCUGGAAGAGAACCACUAUCAUUUUUACCCUCCUAGCAUAAACAUAACUUUAUACCAGUACUUACGCUUAUCACUUUAGCAUUCUAAUUUUUUUAUUUGUAAAACUAGGAGACAUAACAAAAUUAAUGUUUAUCAAUCAUGGACAUU